rnacentral:rRNA from 1 species
AUACGGAGGAUCCGAGCGUUAUCCGGAUUUAUUGGGUUUAAAGGGUGCGCAGGCGGCCAUUUAAGUCAGCGGUUAAAUCGUGGGGCUCAACCCCAUUCUGCCGUUGAUACUGGGUGGCUUGAUUGCGGUCGAGGUUGGCGGAAUUCGUUGUGUAGCGGUGAAAUGCAUAGAUAUGACGAAGAACACCGAUUGCGUAGGCAGCUGACCAGACCGCAAAUGACGCUCAUGCACGAAAGUGCGGGGAUCGAACAGGAUUAGAUACCCUGGUAGUCCGCACAGUAAACGAUGAAUACUUGUUUUCGGCGAUAUAAUGUCGGAGGCAAAGCGAAAGCGAUAAGUAUUCCACCUGGGGAGUACGCCGGCAACGAUGAAACUCAAAUGAAUUGACGGGG